GUAUUAUAUUAUUAUAUUAUAAUAAAAAAUAAAUGAAUCUAUACACAAAAAACAAUGAAUCUAUACACAAAAACUCCCGUCCAAAGAUUCAUUUCUAACCACCACCACCACCACCGUACGCCACCUUCCCCGAUGACAACUUCCGCCCUCUUCCACCGUCCAUUCUUCAACCCUAACCCAAACCACCACCACCACCACCUCGCCCCACCCUUCCGCCACCCUCCAAUCCCCCAAUUCCACUCCAAAUCCACCUCCAAAGACCACAACAACCUCACCGCCUCCGAUCAACCACCACAAUCCACCAACCGCUCCUUCGCGGUGGCCACCGGAGAGCUCUUUCUCGGAAUCGCAUCUCGGAUUAUCAAAACCAGCAAUGCGAUGGAGCAGCGGCUGGAUUCAGAGGAGAAGGUUACGAUGUUUGGUGAGGAAUUGAACGGUAAAAAGGAAUCGGAGUUUUGGAAGAGGUGGCGGAGGAAGAAGGUGGAUGAGGAGGAGGAGGUGGUGGCGGCGGUGGUGGAUGACGGAGAUGUGGUGUGGGAGCAGAGGUUGAAGGAUGUGGAAGCGGAGAGAAGACGGAAGGCGGUUACGAGCCCCGGGUUUAGUUUUUCGGCUGCCGGAUUGUUGUUUCCUUAUCAUCUUGGUGUUGCUAAGUUUCUAAUUGAGAAAGGUUACAUUAAGGAUACAACGCCCUUGGCUGGUUCAUCAGCUGGUGCGAUAGUAUGUGCAGUAGUUGCAUCAGGAGCAAGCAUGGAAGAGGCUUUAGAAGCUACAAAAGUUUUGGCGCAAGAUUGCCGAAGUAGAGGGACUGCAUUUCGUCUUGGGGCUGUUCUCAGAGAUGUUCUUGAACAAUUUCUACCUGAUGAUGCUCAUAUAAGGUCUAAUGGGCGGGUUAGAGUUGCUGUAACACAAAUUCUAUGGAGGCCUAGAGGUUUACUGGUUGAUCAAUUUGAUUCCAGGGAAGAUCUCAUAAAUGCAGUAAUUACAUCUUCAUUCAUUCCUGGAUAUCUUGCUCCAAGACCGGCAAUCUUGUUCAGAAACCGACUCUGUGUAGAUGGUGGUUUGACUUUGUUUAUGCCACCAACAUCUGCUGCCCGAACGGUCCGUGUGUGUGCUUUUCCUGCGGAGCGUUUGGGAUUGGAAGACAUUGGGAUUAGCCCCGAUUGUAAUCCUGAAAACCGGGCCAGCCCUAGAGAGCUUUUCAAUUGGGCAUUGGAACCAGCAGCCGAUUCAAUUCUUGAUAACCUUUACGAGCUUGGAUACAUGGAUGCGGCUGUUUGGGCUGCAUCAAACCCGGUUGAGGAUUUGGUUCAGGAAGAUAACUUGACAGUUAGCUCGUGAUUCCGGUCAGACUUAAUGAGCCAGCCAAGCAGCAAAGGCUGCUCCUGUGAUCUUUGUUGUCUGUGCCACCCAAACAGAAGCAACUGCUACCCUUCUUUCUUUCCAGUGGUUUGCAGCUGAACAGCAGUUGAACAAUCUGGUUCUUCCUCUUGUAACCGCACCAGAAUCCCUUUUUUUGUCGCUCAUUCUUCUGUCUUCAUUCUACUGUUCUUGGCAGAUUUUUGAUGAUUUUUUUUAAUAAAACAUGGCUGCAAUUUUGUUUCACUUUUUAAACUUCAGAGUCGGUUCUUGUGGUUUGUAAUCUGGAUUUUUCUGGUUUUAAAAUGAUGUUCGGUGCCUCUUUUGUAAGUGACGUCGCUCUAAAGACGCAUCCCGUGCUUGAAAGGUCGCUCCAAAGACGCAUGAGGUGGCUAGUUUUGAGAGAGGGUGUGGUCAAUGACUAGUUUUGUAAUUUUUCCAUAUACAAACGCUACUUAGCUGUCAAUUUGGCCGGUAGCUAGUACGGCCCUAGACACCUAAGUAAGCCACUGUCAUUAAUUUUUUUUUGAACGGCAAAUUUCUUUUAUUUGUUUCGUCUGUAGACUUGAACCCAAGACCUCCCCCUCUUCCAAGGUGUUUAAAGGUUUUGUCUUUGUCGAUUGACCACCACCUCAUUGGUUGAUUAAUUUACCAACAAAACAAAUAACAUAAAUGUAAUUUUAAAAAGUUAACAUGACUGAUUGUAUUUUGGAUUUUAUUUUAUUUUUUCUCUCUAUACAUUAGUUUAGAUGAAUUAAAAUAGUUUCAUCGAGCUCGAAUUAAAUAAUGAUUUUAACAUCCCAUAGAAUGUGUAAUUUUAAUUCAUAUUAUAAUGAAAUCAACUUUAAAUACAUUUGAAUUAUAUUUGUUUGCCCCAAAAACCAACUUUGACAGUUUGACUUGCUCAAACAUACUAAACUUUAUUGAGAAGGCCACAUAACAUCCAAACUAGGCAAAAGAAAACCAUCACAAGUUAAGAAUCCUAAGACUUUUGGGCUUAUUGAAGUCAUCCCUUAUCAUUUAUGUUUUCUUAAAACACACCCUAUAAAUACAUUUCCAUCACAUCUCUCUCAUUUCACAACUUUCUCCACACACUCCUCCUUCCAAUCAUGUCAUUGCUACCUCGUCGUCGAGUUAGCGUCAAUAGGAACCAAAGAAUGAGAACUUAUCAUUACUAUUGGUGUCGACGUUGUGAAAGAACAUUUAGAUCCAACUCAAAUAACCUACCUCAAAAUGUUUGUCCGCGAUGUUUAGGCAUCGUUCCCAAUGAGCUUGACAUGCAAGGAACUAGGUUGGUAACCAAUAUCGCAAACAUAGAACCGUCUUUAGCCUCGCAGUUAAUAGAAAACUUGACUUAUCUAUUUGACCCGCCAGAGCUUCAACCACCAUUUAUUGGUCCAUUAGGCCGUAAUACUGAUACUGAAUCUGAACAAAGUCUAGAUUCGAAUUUUAUUUUCCAAGUUACAGGCUCUCAACCGACACUUUUAGGUGUUGGGUCUCUUAAUCAACAACAAGCGGCUUUUGAAGCUAAUAAUGAAGAAGAAGAAAGCCCACGACCGCCACAAGCACGAACUUCGGUCAUCGAUGCUUUGCCACUUGUAAGUCUAACUCCAUCUCAUUUGGUUAACGACUCUCAUUGCCCGGUUUGCAAAGACGAGUUUGAGGUUGGAGGAGAAGUAAAGGAACUACCUUGUAAGCAUUUCUAUCAUUCUGAUUGUAUCAUCCCAUGGUUAAGCAUCCAUGAUACAUGCCCGGUUUGUCGUUAUAAGAUACAAGGCCUCUCAAACAACAACGAACAGGAACAUUAUGAAGACGCGUUUCCAAGACGAGAUUUUGAAAACAAUAUCAACAUGAAUCGCGGGUUAGAACAAUUAAUCACCUUAUGGCCUUUUAGACCUUUCGCGAGCUCCACAUUUCGACAAGAUUAUUUUCGUGACAAUAGUAACCCAACCUCGCUAUUAGAUAGAAUUGGUGACACACUUGGUUCGGUUUAUGACUUCUUAUUUAAUUUGGUGUCACCUUUUAGAAAUAAUAUAUAUUAAGGCAUUUCAAACACAAUUCAUGUUUGAAUAUGAAUCUCACAAUGUAAAUAAAUCACCAAAUUAUUUAAUAUGUAACAAUAUUAUUUACUUCUUAAUAAUGAUUUAACAUUCUUUCUUUUUA